CAUUAUGCAGCAACUACAUGGAUUGUUAGUCACAUACUUGUAUUAAUGACAACCUCUUGUUUUGUGUUAUUUAUUGAUUGAUUCAAGAUGAAAAUCAGGCCAGGUUCAAGAGACUUGGGCAGACAUUCACUGACCCCAUGACAGAAGUGUACCUGCUGUUCUUCCAAGCCACCGUACCAACUUUCACUUCUUUCAACUUGCUGCUUCAGAGAGAGCAGUCAUCAAUAUUUUUGUUACAUGAUGAGAUGGUGAAAUUCGUACGCAAGCUAUGUUCCAAGUUUAUGGUUCCAGCAGCUCUGCAGUGCCAUGAGGAGCCUUGUGAAAUUGCCUUUAAAGAAAAGGCAAACCAUUUACCAGGAAGAAAGUUGAACAUUGGGUUCACAACCAGGGCUAA